AUGGUCAUGGGGCGCUUGGGGGCUUGGUCGGUUAAGCUUCUGACUUCCGCUCAGGUCAUGAUCUCAUGGUUCGUGAGUUCCAGCCCUACAUCGGGCUCUCCGUUGAUAGCACACAGCCUGCUUUGGAUCCUCUGUCCUCCUUUCUCUCGGCCCCUGCCCCACUUGUGCUAUCUCUCUGUCUCUCUCCAAAUAAAUUUAAAAAAAAGAAGGAACCGACAUGGUCAUUUUCCACCUGAAUGGCUUCUGGCUCAUGUUUUCCAACCUCAGCCUGUGCUGGAAAAGUUGUCAAACCUCACAAGCUCGUGAUCUGACCAUUGUAAGUAAUAUGUCACAGAUGGGGGGAAAAGAAUUUUUUUAAGCCAUGUGGCAGCAAGGUGCACCAUAAUAAGAUUGAUAUUUGAAACCGCGUUGGUAAGCUUCAAACAAUUCACGCCUUGCAACCUUAUCAUCUAGCACAGCUCCGAG
rnacentral:lncRNA from 1 species